GCGAGCAGAUCUGGUACUAAAGGCAGGACAGCAGCGGAUUCUCAACAGUUUAGAAUGCCUGGAAGUGUACAAUUCGGAGCCCCGGGGGUGGGGGAGGAGAAGGGGCAGCUAAGAAAACCCAGAUGGAGCCACCUGUCUCGAGGCUUGAGGACGAGAAAUGGAAAAAGGUUCACUUUCAAGCGGACUUUGGGCCGCAGGUGCCCAGGGCUCGGGAUCGUGGCUGCUCCCUUCUGGGAGCCAACGUGGGUGGCCCGGGCUCAGGAAAGCACUCACCAAAGGUUACGAGCCAAGCGUGUACUAAGGAAGCUACACCCCUCUGCGGAAUGGUUACGAUGUUUUCUGAAGCUUAGACGUCGAAUUGUUCCUGACACGAAGGAAAGAUAGCUCCCCUCAGAUAGCUGCUUGUCCACUUUGUUUGGACUGAUCCAUCUCCCCAGGAAGAAACAGGAGGCCGAAGCAAAGUUGGCACUACAACCAGAAAUGAGGAACAGGUAGGAAAAAAAAAAGAGUAGUCACACACUGUAUGGCUCAGUUUAAGGAGGCUUCAUAGACUUCCCUCACCCAGGUACCACAAUGCCUGAAAUUCCAUCAUUAUGAUGCACCUUUGGCCUAAACAUUGCCUUCUCCAUAUCAUCUGCUUAGAGUCUCAUGAGGGCAUGGGGAAUCUGAAGGGAGGGAGGAGCAAGGUUUGUUAAAAACAGAAUUUGUUUCUUUUGUCAAGAGAUGAGCUGAUAGGAGUGGGCACACCAGACUAAAUGGCCAGUGACGCCAAGUUGGGAGCAGCUCUUCUUUGACGUCUUUUCCCUCUUCUCUCCUGAUUCAAAUGACCUAAGAAUGCUGUGUUAAAAGCCACAGUUAAAUCAGCUACAGCUCCCCUGAGAGCGCGAUGGGGGUCUUUGGGUUUUUAUUUAUGUUGUGUGCAAGAAGACAGCAGCCAUAGCUCUGUGAAGUGGUCAGAUUGUCUCCACAUACAGCCCACCAGCUCCCUCAAACCUACCCAAAACACUUGUUUAUUUGCUCUUUUCCCUAAUCCCAAAGGAAGUCACACUGUUUAUAACUCACUGGACUUUAAUCCCUAGUGCAAAAGAAACACAAAUCUUGCAAUUUCCCUGGAAGAACAACUCUUGACUUCACAAUCCUCUCUUUAGGCAGAUACAAAAAGUCACUCUUCAGGAUCCUGAAAGGUCAUCUUGAUUCGAACUAAUAUCCUGUCACCAUUCAAUUAAAAGAAGCCAAACCACUGACCUGGCAAGAAGCCUACAGAGCCCUGGAGAGAUCCCUAGGUAGGUAGAGCUCCUGAAGCUAGGUGGAGAGCGUGCCAAGCCUGAAAUCAGGCUCAGACACUUCCUAGCUGUCAGUCUCAGUUUCCUCAUCGGUAAAAUGAGCUGAAGAAGAAAAUGGCAAACCACUCCUGGGGCUUUUAACAAGAAAACCCCAAAUGGUGUCAAGAAGAGUCAAACAUCACUGAACGAGAACUCCUGUUCUGAAGCGUAUAAGCUCCCUUUUCUCCCAAGGUAAGAUGGGUAGUUAGGAGGGGAAAGAGUAGCCCAGGCCCAAGCUGCAUGAGAACAAACAUGGCGACUAGUGCCCCAAGGCUUGGGCAGUCAGAGGAGGUGCUACCGCAGGCCCUCUACCCCACUCACCCAAGGCCAGGCUAGCCUCACCCCAAAGAUCGCUAGGACUAACCUGGCUUCCCCUAAAGGGAAAGAAGCUCAGCGACUAAGGAAAUCACUGCUUUGGAUCUUUGGGAGGGAUCUCUGAGGAGUAUAUGAUUUACUACCCAGUACCAGAUGGGUCUGUAUUGCCAUCCCCAUUUUAUAGAUGUGGUAACCAAAGACCAGAGAUGAGUAGAAGACAUUCCCCUGGUCGUACAGUAAGUUGUUAAAGAGAAAUUAGAACUCAAGAUUCCUACUUCCUCAUCUAUAAAGAAUUCUAUGGUCAUAUGUAGAUAUAUGUGAUAUAUGUAGGUAGGUAUAGAUACUUGUGUUAGCUAUAUACAUAUAGUUAUCCAUCUGUUGGUCUAUAGCUCUUAUAUCUAGUCUAGAGCCCCUACGACUUGCUCUAUAGGAAUGUAUCUAAAUUAUGUGGAAAUUACUACAAAAUGUUUUAUUGCCAUCCCCAACAGUAUGUCAAGAUUCAAGAAUAUUUUGUAAUAUAACUGUGAACCUGGAGGAAGAGUAGCCUCCCACUGGAUUUUGUAGUUUGAAAAUCUAAAACCAAGAAAAAGAAAUCCUACAUUUGAAUACUAAGUCCAAAGGAGGGAUAGAAUGUUCAAAGACCUUGCCUCUUACAAUAGCUUUAGAAAGACCAGGAUGAUUGUUGAAGAGGCAAAACUCUGUAGAAAGCACAGACUAUAUAUGCAACAACCAGUGGCACAGUGGAGAGAGCAUCGGAUCUGAAGUGAGGAAGAUCAGAGUUGAAAUCUGACUCCAGACACUUACUAGCUGUGUGACCCUAGGUAAGUCACUUAACUCUCUUUACCUCUGUUUCCUUAUCUGUCAAAGGAGCCAGAGAAAUAAACGACAACCCCCUCCGCUAUCUUUACCAAGAAAAAAAAAAGUCAGACAGCUGAAAAAAAAUAUUUUUAAUGAUCCUGGUGUUCCUGAAUUCAGGUCACAUAAGGUCCUUUUAGAGCUAGGUGAUUCAGUAGAUAAUGCUGGGCCUAGAAUCAAAAAAUCUGAGUUCGAGUCUAACCCCAGACAGAGAGUAGCUGUGUGUGGCCCUGGGCAAGUCACUUAACCCUGUUUGCCUUAAUCUACUAGAGAAGGAAAUGGCAAACCUCUCCAGUAAGAAGUAAAAAACUAAGAAAAUUCCUUACAGGGUCACAACUAAAUACCUGAAUGAAAUUUAUCUUCUUGAACAAUACAGUUGAUAGAAUGCCAGGCCUGGAGUCAGAAAGACUCAUCUUCCUCAGUUCAAAUCUGGCCUUCUACAUUAGCUGUGUGACCCUGGGCAAGUCACUUCACCCUGUUUGGCCCAAUUUUCUUCUCUGUAAAAUGAGCUGGAGAAGGAAGAACCACUCCAGUAUCUUUGAGAAGAAAAUGCCAAGUGAAGUUACAAAGUUGGACACAACUGAAAACAAUUGAAUAAGAACAACAAUUGAUCAUAUCAUCUGGGUAUACUGUAUGGUCCUCUAAAUUUCUUUAGUUCUUUGCCCCCACAAGAUGGAACAAGUCAGUCAGUCAUCAGAUCUACUCACAAGCAUUUUAGCUCACGAAGCAUCAAAAAUAAAACCAAUUUUAUUAACAUAGGAAAGGACAUAGUAAGAACUCACACCCAGGUCCAUAUCAAGGCAACAGAGAGCCCUUUACUCUUUGGCAAAGGAAUCCCUUUCCCCCAUCCCAGAUAUCUGUAUAGUCUGUGUACCUCACAGUAGUGCCCUGGGUCAAGCUUCAUUGAAGGAAAAGUCAGAGCCUACCGCUCCUACUGCUCACCAUGAUGCCUGCAGGCAUCCAUCACUCCACCUUGCCAUUGUCACUGCUCCCUGCCAUCUGUCCUCAUCAGUACUGCUUGGUUUAAUCCUGCUGAGCAAUCAAAUUACCUGGAAUCCCAGCUGACAGUUUCAGAGUUCCAGGGUCAGAAUGAUUUUUAGCCAACGACUCAUUUUGUUCUUUUUUAACAUGUCCUUCUACCUUAUAAAUAAAAGUCCUCUUCAGAUGCGGUUCAUACUACUCAAUCAAGUCUCUGUUUCCCAUUCCUCUUCAGGAUAGGGUUAAUCCAUCCCAUUUAUCUCCUCCCUCCCUCCCCCAGAAGCCCAGGCAGCAUGUCCCCCAAUUUGUUUCAGUACCUCUCAAUGAGUCUUGGGAGGCACAAGAAUACAGUAGCUCCCUUUCCAUAUGCCAUUCCACUCCUGUCUUCUUCUAUGAAAGCAAGUCCAGGUCAUACAAGUUUACCCAGAGCUCUGGCAAAGAAAGUAGGGAGGUACUACCCUGCCCUGAGAAGCUGGCAAAAAUUUAUCUGAAUCUCGUUUAAGACUUUAAUAGGUAAUAACAAUCAGAAGGCAAUUGACAAAUCUAGGUAUGAGUUAAGAAAGAUGUUCAUCAGGAUGAAAGCAAUGGGCAUAGAUAAGAAGGGACAGAUAUAAAAACACUGAAAAGAAGAUGAGGAUCUGAUGUCUCACACUGAAAAUAUCAGCAAUAUUAGGCCAUCUUUUAAUAUCAGUAAUCCUGCAGAAAGAGAGCAUUUGAGAUAGGAAAUCAAUAUGAUUGAGAUCGAUAAUAUUUGCCUAUCUCAGAAUCAAAUAUUGAAGAGCUCAACAUGAAUGAAAAAUCUAAAUCACUAUCACAUAAAAAUACUCUGGGCCCAAAGCCAAUGAGUAUUCUUAGACUUUUUUAGCACCCUAAAUUUAGCCUGCUAGAAUUAUUUUGAUAUUUUACUCAACUUCUCAAAUGAAGACUUUGCCUUUUAAUAAGACAUUUUAAUUUAUCUUAAUGGUGGAACAUAGUGUAUAGUAUCUGUAGUUCAGUAAUUCUUCACUGAAGCAUUAUUUUUUGCUACAAAGAUCAGCCUUAGAGGCCUGAGGAACUUUAAUAUGCCAAAAAGCAUCAAGAAGAUUUGAUGACCUGAAUGCAGGGUCUGGAUAAUAAUGAGAAGAAAUACAAGCUUUCCAUCUUUGGAAAUUUUGCUCAGAAAUAUCAAAAACCAAAGCAUCUCUACCAACAGAGGCUUUGGACAAGUCACUUCCUCUGCCUUGUCCUCAGUUUCUCUUAAUGGUCAGUUCUAACAUUCUACAACUUCAUAAUUAAGAGUCAGCAAUGAAAAUAUAUACUCUUUUAGAACAGUCUUCUAUCAUGGCUAAUUUUGUGAAUGCCUAUUCCAUACUUUAUAUCUUCUGGUGUCAUUUAUAACACAAAUGUCAGUUCCUUCACUGGUUAUGUACACAAAGAUCCUAUUGACUGUGCCAUUGACUCAAGAAAUUUAUAGAUGUUUGAAAAACUCUUGAUUCUUGGUGCCCUCUGCUCUCUUUUCUGCUUCUUUCCUUUUGCCACCAUCUCUGCCAAAGUAAAAGAGGGCGACACUAUUCUAAAAGCUCUAUAAUAUGUUUUAUUUAUUUUCUGGAUCACAAUGACCAAAAAAAUUUAUCAUCUAGGAGCCAACCUUCUGGCAAUAAGCCUAAUCACACUUAGUCUCAUUCUCAGCCCAAUUAGUAACCAUAUCAAGCAAGGUAUGCAAAAAGAGGACAUAAGUUUGCCAAAAGCAUUGGGAAAUAUCAUUGGAAUCAUACUUUAAGCCUUUUUCACUUUGGUAGAACAUGUCAAAGUAUGUACCAUAUUGACAUGUUUUUCGAGAAUCUUACAUCAACUCUAUACUGUGGGGGAAUAUCAUAAUGGGCUUUUUAUGAGAGGAGAUAUAUAGAUAUGUGUGCAUAUACAUGCACAUAUAUACAUGCAUACACAAUUCAUGUUUAUACACAUAUACAUACUAUAUGAAAAAAUUGGACAAAACAGCUGAACCUGAUCAAAUAACUACAAAAGAAAUUCUUGCUAGAAGAUGGCAUUAUUUUAAAGUUUGGGGCAGAUCAAUUUUCAAAACAAAACACUUGGGAAAGUUGGCACUAUUUCCAAAAAAGGUGAACAAAGGACACAGCAGCUACACAUACCUGCUACUUUUUCUCAUUUCUCUGGAAUCCUUAGCGAGAAUGGUCUGUGCCUAUUUUUGUGGUGAAAAUGUAAGGAGGGCAAGAAAGGGAAGGCAGAAAUGAUUUUCUAAAGUGGCCUAUAUCUUCACAGUCAUAGAAUGAGAUGCAAAAAGAACAGGAGAUCCCAUUGGAUCUACUGCUUGGGGCAAAAAAGCCUGACUUAGAACAAAAAGGUUUUUUUCCAAAAAAUUGUCUCCCAUUCUGCAAACUAAAUUAAUAGAUGCAGCCAUAGAUGCUAACCAUUCUUCUGAGUAACCAUAUCAAGCAAGGUAUGCAAAAAGAGGACAUAAGUUUGCCAAAAGCAUUGGGAAAUAUCAUGGAGGGCGUAUCCUAUUCAAAGUCUAAAUGGAAGAGAUAUUCUCUAUUGAUGGUAAGAUGCUGUGUAUACUCCAGUUUAUGACAUUAAUCUGAUUACUAGAAUACCAAAAAUACUACAGGGUCACUUCAAUGAAAUUCACAGGGAGAAUUAUAGAAUACUAGUUGGAAGAGCUUUCAGAAGUAAUCUAGAUCAACUCACACCUGAACACAAAUCUCCUUUGCAAUAUGCCCAACAAAUGAUCAACCCAAGUCUUUGCUUGAAGAAUUUCUGUGGAAGGGAACUCACCUUCUCAAAUAGCCAAUUAUACUUCUGGAUAGCUCUAAUUAUUAAGAAACCUAAAUCUUCCUUUCUGCAACUUCUACCCAUUCUUCUAAGUUCUCCUCUGUAGAAAUAAGCAGAAUAAAACUAAUUCCUUUUUUUCACAUUCUUCAAAUACUUAAAGACAAUUAUCAUGAACACACACACACACACACACACACACACACACACACAGAGUCUUCUCUUCUCCAGACUACUCCCAGUUCCUUUCAUCAAUCCUUAUGUGGCGUGAUAUCAGUCAAAAGAAAUGGGCCUAGUAAUUAAUUAACUAAGGAAAACUGUGAAGAAUGUCUUGCCCAGAUCAUGACAAACAAUUAAAUAAAUAGCCCACAGAGUUAGCCCAGGUUUUACAAAAGUACAAUAAGCCAGAAUUGAAUAGGAAGAAAAGAACAGGCUAGAUUGCAUUUGGGAAAUUACAAAGUGCUUUCAAUGAUUUGAAGCCACUCUCUACUGCAGAAGUAGUCCUUUUAAAUGCCAAUAUCCUUCCCUUGAUGUGAUAUAGAUGCAAAUCAUGCAAUAUCACUCUCAGAAAAGAAUCAAAAUUACCAGUGCCCUAAUGGGUCAUGGAAAGACACAUAAUAUCCAUAGGAUUCAGUGCAUUGUCAACAAUAAUUUGCAUGUGAGAAGUAGAAUGGCAUAAAAGAUAACAUCAAGGACAUGGAAGAUAGAAAAAGGAUUGGGCUAGUCAUGUGAACAAGGAAUAAUAUAUGUGUAGCUUUAUUGUUAUACUGUUGUGUGCAAAAUAUUGAACCAGAGGAAAGAUUAGUGUUCCUCAAUGGAAUAUUUAUGGAAAGGCAUGAACAAAAAAGACACAAGAUGAAAAGGCAUGGAUACAAUGCAAUCAUUGCUGGUGAAAGGAGUAGCCACAUCAAUAAAAUCAAGGAUUCGUUGAAGUAUCCAAAUAUCCUUCUCUUAAAGGGCCAAGCAAUCUUUCUCCUGGUGGUUAAAGUUUUUAUGAUAUUCACCUGAUCUAUAACCUGAGUUUGUUUAUGAAAAAGUUUUUCUACCCUAAAUAAUAUCAAAUCCAGGAUGAGGAUAAAAUGACUAACAAACACUUUAGAGAUCUGUGCUUAUUAGUACAAAUAUUUUGUCUAAAUUGUGAUGAGAUAAUUGCAAGAGUCAAAUUCCAGGGAAGCCAUUAAUAAUUUAGCAUUUGCUGUUUGCUGUGGGAAUGUGGAUUCCAUUUACUGAAAAAUAAUAUGGGAAUGCUUGCAAUAAACUAAAGUACAGAAUCAGAGGGGAUGGAUUCCUCAGCUGUAUUUCCCUUAACCUCAUUUCAUACCAAACUUGAGAGAAAGCAAUGCUUUAAAUUAGCUUCCUGGGUAUAUUGGCCAUUUCAAGUUAACAGGAAAAAGGGUACUGGGGGAAACAAAGGUGGCACAAGGAAAGAGAUGAGUAUCCCAAACUGACCCUAGAUCACUCAAGAAUUUUAUUCUAUGCUUUUGGAGAUCUUGACUGCUUCAGGUAUAGUUGUGAUUGCAAUAACAGUGAUCAUACACUUCUCCACUUCCCUAAUUUUUACUCCUUAAAAUCUGGUUUUCAUCUCCACAUCAGCAUUUGUUCCCUUACCACUGAUCUCCUAAUGACCAAAUUAAAUGAUUUCUUCUUCUCAGAAUAGUCCCAAAUCUAUAUUCCCAGGUCUGACUUUACUCCUAAGGUUCAGUCUCAAAUUUCAGCUACCUGCUAGACUUUCCCACUUAAUUGUUUCGUUCACAAUUCAAACUCAAGACAUGUCAGAAUUGAAAUCAUCUCCUCAAAGCUAGUUCCUUUUCCUGAGUUAUUUCUGAUCUCUCUCCAUUUAAAUCCAGCUCAGAGCUCAUGAUCUUUGCCUUAUUCUAUUACCUAUUCUAGCCCUGUCCUUUCAUGGGGCAGAUCCUUGGGAUUCAUCCUUCUGUCAAUAUCUCUCAUAUAUAUACCUACAUUCCUAGCUCCACUAUCACUCAAAAGAAAGUUCUUAUCACAUACCUAGAUUUUUUAAUUGUCUCCUGUUUUUGCUGGCUAAAAAAGGUUUCACUCCACUCUAAUCCAUCCUUCACACUUCCACCUGAUUAUUGCUCCUAUUGCCUUGCUUGUCAACUUAGACUACUCCUCUACCCAAUACAUCAUCCAAAAAUCCGUAGUAGCUCCCCUUUGCUUUCCAAUCAGUUCCAAGCUCAUUAGCCUUGAAUUAAAGGCCUUAAAUAAUCCAACCCCAACAUUCCUUUCCUAUGUUACUCCCUAUCCCAAUGCUAAACAGCCAAGCAAUUAUUUACCAUUCUCUGACUCAAACAAAUUUAAACAAAUUUUUAUUAAGCACCAAUUAUGUACAAGGUACUAUUCUAAGUUCUGGAGACACAAAAAUGAAUUAGUCCCUGCCUUCAAAGACCUUGUACUUUCCUGCCUCUGGGCUCAUGCUACCAACUGUAAUGUUCUCUACACCCCAACUUAUUAAAAUGACUGUUAAAUAUUGAUUGAAACCAUAGUACUAAAAUUUUAUAUUUAUUAUAUAAAAUUAUUAUAUAUUAUAUAAAAACUUAACCACCAUUUAGGUCCCAAUUUUAAUCCCACCUCUUCCAUGAAGUAUUCCCUAUCACUAGUGAUUCUCAUCUAUAUCUUAACUUAGCACUUUGGCCAUAAGAUAUUUUCCAUAUAGAGUCUUUUAUUCUACUAUUGAUUAAUAUUAACAAGAGCCUAAUAUUUUAGUUAGUUGCAUCCAUCUUCCAAUAUGAGCUGCUAUAGGGCAGGAACUAAAAUUUUUAUUUUUGUUUAAUUUCCCACAAAGUUUAGCAGGAGCUUGAAUAAAUAUUGUUGAAUAAGCAUGUUGGAUAGUGAUUGAACAGAUAAUUAGAUGAUAGCUAGAGUUCCUUCUAGCUGUAGGAUUCUAAUCCUAGAAUAAGGUCCUAGAAGUAACUAGAGAUAUCAGAGAUCUGGCCUUAGAGGAAAUAUAUAUAUGUAAGAAAGAGAAACUUCGUUUCAGUAAUGCAGGAUCACCACCUAGUGGUAACUAAUCAGCUUCACCUGUCUGUCUAGCCACCACCCUCCCAAAUAUUGAUGUGGGACCAUGAGCAUCAACACUAGUCUCAAAAUCUCUACAACAUUUCCCCUUACCUUACCAAGACUGAAGGGUUGAUUCCUUAGGAUUCACUAGGACCUGUAUGUUUACCUCCUGAAAAUAAACUAAACUGAAAGUGAAAACUUCAAGUAGAUUCUUUCUGACUUCAUAGAGCCCCAGACACCUCAAUUAAUUCCAUCCCAAAGUCAUAAUGCAUCUUAGGACAGGCUAGGCUGGAACAACUUUAGAAUCAUUUAACCAAAUCAUCUGACUUCUGAAACAGUUUCUUCCACCAAGAAUAAAGGCAAGCUGAAUAAAUUAAGUAGACACCCUUCCCACAGACUAAAGAUGAGCAGAGAGGCAGGAAAGAAGAGGCAUGGCCAACGGUCCAGGGAAAUUCUACCUUGAGGCGGGAGGCCUCAUCCUACCCACCCGAAGACUUGGCUUUCCUCACCCUCUGACACUUAUCUAAUCUGUCUGAACUAGCCACUUACACUGUCUUUGAGGCAGAAAGCUGUCAUUGAUUAAAAUCUGAUGUAACUCCAGAAGUUCCUUGCUCUUCUUUGAUUCUCCUUUGGACUCCUAAAAUCCAAGAUUCAGAGUUGAUUUGGGCCUUCUGGGAGGUGAUACUUUUAUACUUGCUGGAUAAUUCAACACUGGACUCUGAAGAAAUGUCAAAGAUGCAUCAAGAUCAACAGAUAGAUAUGGAGAAUCUACUAUGUGUAGGACACAUGAUUAGGUCACAAGGAAGUAUAAGACAAUCCCUGUCUUCAAGAGAUGGUCUAGUUGGUAAGAUAGGAAAUGUACAUAAAAAACCAAAGGCUAUUGAAUA